rnacentral:rRNA from 1 species
AAUCCUGGCUCAGGAUGAACGCUAGCGACAGGCCUAACACUUGCAAGUCGAGGGGCAGCGAAGAGGUAGCAAUACCUUUGCCGGCGACCGGCGCACGGGUGAGUAACACGUAUGCAAUCCACCUGUAACAGGGGGAUAACCCGGAGAAAUCCGGACUAAUACCCCAUAAUAUGGGCGCUCCGCAUGGAGAGCCCAUUAAAGAGAGCAAUUUUGGUUACAGACGAGCAUGCGCUCCAUUAG